rnacentral:rRNA from 1 species
GAUGAACGCUGGCGGCGUGCCUAAUACAUGCAAGUCGAGCGAACGGACGAGAAGCUUGCUUCUCUGAUGUUAGCGGCGGACGGGUGAGUAACACGUGGAUAACCUACCUAUAAGACUGGGAUAACUUCGGGAAACCGUAGCUAAUACCGGAUAAUAUUAUGAACCGCAUGGUUCAAAAGUGAAAGACGGUCUUGCUGUCACUUAUAGAUGGAUCCGCGCUGCAUUAGCUAGUUGGUAAGGUAACGGCUUACCAAGGCAACGGUGCUUAGCCGACCUGAAAGGGAGGACGGCCACACUGGCACUGAGGCACGGUCCAGACUCCUACGGGGGGCAGCAGUAGGGAAUCUUCCGCGAUGGGCGAAAGCCUGACGGAGCAACGCCGCGUGAGUGAUGAAGGUCUUCGGAUCGUAAAACUCUGUUAUUAGGGAAGAACAUAUGUGUAAGUAACUGUGCACAUCUUGACGGUACCUAAUCAGAAAGCCACGGCUAACUACGUG